rnacentral:lncRNA from 1 species
UUCAUAUUGAUAUUGAAUUUCAUUCUCUUAGAAAGAUGAAUCGCAAAUUAUUUAUGUAUAUGAUGGUUAUUGUGAUGACGGUGAAUGUUGCCAUGUCAGAUUUUUCUACUUGUCCCGUAACAUGUAAGUUAACUAUUGCAUAUAGAAUUUGUUUCUCUUAGAAAGGACGAAUCCCAGAAUAUUUAUGUAUAUGAUGAUUCUUGUGAUUAUCGUGAAUGUUGUCCUGCAAUACUGGAUAUUCAAUCUAACUUAUAAGCAUAUGGUUUUUCAUCUUUCAAAAUGAAAAUUAAAUUUGUAUUUGAUUGGGAUGAUUUAUUUUGGAAGGAAUGUAACCGAAUUUGAAGGUUAAAAAGUUUAAGUGGUUCCUGAUUUCAUUUUCAUGAGUCAAACUAUGAUUCAAACCCAAAAAUUAAGACAAAAUUGUACAAUGUCUUUCAUACCUAUUUUCGUAUCUAAUCUUUACUAUACCUUUAACUAUUCCCGUGUACCUACAUUGUUACUAUUUAUUUUCGAUCAUUUCAUCUAUUUUCACGCAUUUCAUUUUUGUUCUUAUUUAAUAAUUAAUUUUGCAAAGAUGUAAUUCGAGGAGAAAUAUGUUAAUAUAAGCAUAUUUUAAAGAUAUGUUCAUUAUUAGAUUUUUAACAAAAUUGUAUGAAUUAUUGAACUAUGAUAAUACAAUGUGUUUAUAUCUAUAAAUAUCAUGUAGACUUAUUGAAUCUUGAAAAUUUAUGCCUUUAAUCAAGAAACAAUUUGUUUAUAUACUAAACUUUUGUAAUUGCAGAUAAUCCGAAUGUUUCUCAUCAGAAGAUGGAAGUAUGCCAAUGUACUACGAAAUAUGAUCAUGGAUGCGUACUUGAUACAUGUGCACAUUUAUGUAUAAAAAUAUGGAAUAUAAUAGUUGGCUAUUGUAUGGAUAAAUCGACAUGUCUAUGCAUAUACGACUGUUGAGAAAUUAUAAAGAAACUAGAGUGAAAACCCGUGCGAGCCACGAGCCUACAUUUAUAUACCAA